rnacentral:rRNA from 1 species
UACGUAGGUGACCAGCGUUGUCCGGAUUUACUGGGCGUAAAGAGCGCGCAGGCGGUCGUUCAAGUCGAGUGUGAAAGCCCCCGGCUCAACUGGGGAGGGUCACUCGAUACUGAUCGACUUGAAGGCAGGAGAGGGAAGCGGAAUUCCCGGUGUAGUGGUGAAAUGCGUAGAUAUCGGGAGGAACACCAGUGGCGAAGGCGGCUUCCUGGCCUGCUCUUGACGCUGAGGCGCGAAAGCUAGGGUAGCAAAUGGG